GGAAGAUUCAGCCACUGGGCAAAGACUGGAUGGACGCUUCAGUUGACAACUGGCUCAAGCUUGAGUCUUGGCCUUUUUGCAGGCUGGCACUGUUUCUUCCUCCUCAACCUUGUGAAGCUUCUUCACUGUGUAUACUACCCCACAGGCACUCUUCCGAGUUUCUCCAUGAAGUAUGGUGGCUCUGCAGUUGGUGGACACGGCUGCC
rnacentral:lncRNA from 1 species